GUAGUCCUGGCAGUAAACGGUGCGCGUUUGGUGUGGGAGGAUUCGACCCCUUCCGUGCCGGAGCUAACGCGUUAAACGCGCCGCCUGGGGAGUACGAUCGCAAGAUUAAAACUCAAAGAAAUUGACGGGGGCCCGCACAAGCGGUGGAGUAUGUGGCUUAAUUCGAUGCAACGCGAAGAACCUUACCUGGGCUUGACAUGCAUCUCUAACCCGGUGAAAACCGGCGAGCCCCGCAAGGGGCAAUUUGCACAGGUGCUGCAUGGCUGUCGUCAGCUCGUGUCGUGAGAUGUUGGGUUAAGUCCCGCAACGAGCGCAACCCUUAUGAUCUGUUGCUAACGGUCCGCAAGGAUCGUGCACUCUGAUCAGACCGCCCUGUGAAACGGGGA
rnacentral:rRNA from 1 species